ACCCAAAAAAAAAAAAGAACACAUUUACCAGGCUUUAUUUUGGAAAGGAAACCCAUAUCCAAUGAGUGAUGGAUGAGAAGCACAUUAAUCUACUAAUAUACCCAUGCAGUAAGUUCUCUAACAAAGCAAAACGAUAUUGCAAGUUGAGAUGAAGGUACCCAUAAAUGUCUCCUGAUAAUAUCCUAACUGCACAAACUGCACCAACCAAUGAUGUGUUAUUUAAUAGAAACCCUUUGGUUCAGAACAUAUCCAAUUUAUAUUUGGGGAGAUACAUUCUUCCAAUGACCAAAUGAACUCAGUUCACUAU